rnacentral:tRNA from 2 species
GGGGGCAUAUUUCAGUGGCAGAAUGUCUCUCUCCAAAAGAGACGACCUGGGUUCGAUUCCUAGUGCCCCCG